rnacentral:misc_RNA from 1 species
GAGAAGAACGCAGCGAAAUGCGAUAAGUAAUGCGAAUUGCAGAAUUCAGUGAGUCAUCGAAUCUUUGAACGCACAUUGCGCCCUGUGGUAUUCCGCAGGGCAUGCCUGUUCGAGCGUCAUUUCAACCCUCAAGCCUCGCUUGGUGUUGGGCCCUGCCCGCCGCGGCCGGCCCUAAAGAUAGUGGCGGCGCCGCCUGGCCCUCAGCGUAGUACAGCUCUCGCUCCAGGGUCCGGCGGCAGCCUGCCAGAACCCCCCAACUCUGUGGUUGACCUCGGAUCAGGUAGGGAUACCCGCUGAACUUAAGCAUAUCAAUAAGCGGAGGA